AUCCCUUUUUGGCCUUUUGGCUAAGAUCAACGGUUGCAUCUUUUUCUAUCAGUUUAAUAUCUAGUAUGUCCUCCAGGUGAGGAAAGCAUAUUAAGUGGGGUUUUUGAACGGCGGAGAUGGAGGUGGAACUUGCUCUUCUCACUCUGUGCAUUGACGGAAUAUUACAGUGCUUCUGAAAGCUGUGCAUAUGAC
ensembl:snRNA U2 U2 spliceosomal RNA